rnacentral:rRNA from 1 species
UAGGGAAUCUUCCACAAUGGACGCAAGUCUGAUGGAGCAACGCCGCGUGAGUGAAGAAGGUUUUCGGAUCGUAAAGCUCUGUUGUUGGUGAAGAAGGAUAGAGGUAGUAACUGGCCUUUAUUUGACGGUAAUCAACCAGAAAGUCACGGCUAACUACGUGCCAGCAGCCGCGGUAAUACGUAGGUGGCAAGCGUUGUCCGGAUUUAUUGGGCGUAAAGCGAGCGCAGGCGGAAGAAUAAGUCUGAUGUGAAAGCCCUCGGCUUAACCGAGGAACUGCAUCGGAAACUGUUUUUCUUGAGUGCAGAAGAGGAGAGUGGAAUUCCAUGUGUAGCGGUGGAAUGCGUAGAUAUAUGGAAGAACACCAGUGGCGAAGGCGACUCUCUGGUAUGCAACUGACGCUGAGGCUCGAAAGCAUGGGUAGCGAACAGG